GGCGGGCUGGAGGCUGCAAGCCGAGAUUUCACCACCACCUCCCUCAGGGGUCUCGACAUCUCCUCCCAGACCACAGAGAAGGAGUCAACGCCCAGAGGGCGCCAGGCUAGAGCCACACAGCAGGGAGCAUCCCUGUGGGGGACUCCAGCCAGCUUGAGCGAUUCGGAUCCUGAGAGCGCUCCCGGGUACGCAUUGGCCCCGGUAGGAUGCCUUGUCAGAGUAGCGCACAGCAGGCCCCCGUGGAGGAUCAACGCAGUGGCUGAACAUGGGGAAGGAACUGGCACUUGGAGUCCGGACAUUUGAAACACGAGACGGAGUCUCGCUCUAUUGCCCUAGCUGGAGUGUGUUGGCAUGAUCUCUGCUCACU